GUAUGAUCUCAACUUCCAAUCUUCUAGUAAUUGCGUUUAAGGUUUUUCAUUCACGGUGAAGCUACAAGUAUGGAAUUUUUGACAUCCAUUUUAGUUUAGUGUUCAAUGCACAGGCUAGUACUGCAUGCCCAAUUAAUAGUUAAUAAGUUGGAUUGUAAGUUUGGCAUGGCCUUAAAUUUGAUUUCUAUCUCAGAAUAAUAUUGUAUUGUCUAAAAUUUUGUUAACUUUUCACAAGCAUUGUAUGAUGGCUGAUUAGAAUUUGUGGGAUGUUUUGGUGUUCUCAUGCUGUCUAGAAGUUAUAAAUUUAUAAUGUUUUCUUAUCUUUUUAGUUAUUUGGUUAAAUUUGUGUUUGUCAUUUAUUGAGAUGCUUUUAAUCAUGGGUGAUCUUGAUCGGAAAUUCUGUUUUAAAUUAAGCUAAAUGUGCAGUCCUGUUUUACUGCAUGUAACAUGAUUUAAACACACCCAACAGAACAGAGACAUAGUAUAUAUGUUCUCCAAGAACAAUAGAGAAAGGAUAAAACAUGUGAUGGAUUCGUCUAUGAUGAAGUUAACUUUUCCAUAUUAUUCCUUUUGUGGUUAACAUGAUCAUAAUUUUAUUCUAGUUGUGACUCAUUUUUCUUUCGAAUGUAAUU
rnacentral:misc_RNA from 1 species